rnacentral:rRNA from 1 species
AGUGAACGUUGGCGGCGUGGAUUAGGCAUGCAAGUCGAGCGAGAACCGUAGCAAUACGGGGACAGCGGCGAACGGGACAGUAAUGUGUAGGUACCUACCCCUGGGACCGGGAUAGCUGCGGGAAACUGCAGGUAAUACCGGAUAACGUCUCAGGACCAAAGGUGUGAUUCCACCUGGGGAGGGGCCUGCAUCCUAUUAGCUAGUUGGUGAGGUAACGGCUCACCAAGGCAACGAUGGGUAGCGGGUGUGAGAGCACGACCCGCGUCAUUGGGACUGAGAUACUGCCCAGACACCUACGGGUGGCUG